UUAAAAAAAAAGCACGACGGAUGGAGAGAGGCGCGCUUGCGGGUGUAUGUCUCAUGGUAAUUUACAAGUGGUGUUUUUUUAAUUACUCCAAUAAACCGAAAGUACAGGUUUCCAUUCGCCAUUAUCACGAAGAAGCAUAGUGGAACUUCUUCGCGACCGUUUUAAAACUAGAUGUCGGCCGUCUCGGUCAGCAUGGACUCCCUACCAAAUGCGGCCGAUGGUCGGUUAUUGAAGACCCGCUCCGGAAAGAAACGGGUCAAUCGCCGGAUCUUCUAGAACGUGACCCUCAAAAGUCUGGUCGCAUGCUUGCUCCGUGAAAAAAGCGUGGAAGCUGGGGAAACCCCCAAUCCAUCGGCAUUCUCCUUCCCAUCUCUCCCGCUCUCCCCUCCGGCGAUGGGCUUUACCCACCCUCUCCCACUUCUCUUUGUCCCCCUCCUCUUCGUAGCGGCGAUUCCAAGCUUCUCCGAUUCCGCUGUUCUGCCCUCGGUGGGCAAAGGGGAUCCUGCAUUCUUCGAUCCCACGCGAGUCGUCCAACUCUCCUGGCGUCCCAGGGCUUUCUUGUACAAGGGUUUUCUUUCCGAUGAGGAAUGCGAACACCUUAUCUCACUGGCGAGGGAUAAGCUGGAGAAAUCGAUGGUGGCGGACAAUGAUUCGGGAAAAAGUGUGAUGAGCGAGGUCCGGACGAGCUCGGGCAUGUUCCUCGAGAAGCACCAGGAUGAAAUCGUGAGAACAAUUGAGCAAAGGAUUGCUAUUUGGACCUUUCUUCCAGAAGAAAAUGGUGAGUCCAUGCAAAUACUACACUACGAGCAUGGUGAAAAAUAUGAGCCGCAUUUUGAUUAUUUUCAUGACAAAGUUAAUCAAGCACUUGGAGGUCAUCGAAUUGCCACAGUACUCAUGUACCUAUCUGAUGUUCGGAAGGGUGGAGAGACAAUUUUUCCAAAUUCAGAGGGAAGAUUUAAUCAACAGAAGGGUGACAGCUGGUCUGAUUGUGCAAAGAAUGGUUAUGCAGCAUUCUGGAAUUUGAUGAUGGGGAAGAGGACGGAUUCAAUGGAGAAACCAAGGGCCAUGUGCCUGGCAGGAUUCCGGAACAAAGGAGUGAUUUUUACGGGAACUUCUUAAAGAGUUUUCCCCUACAAUCUGACGAAUACAUCACUUUGCUGGUUGAGAAGGAAUUAGAACAUAUUCUGGGAGGGGAUUAUGCCAAGAGGUUGCUGAAUGGUGACUUGGACAUUUCAGUCAGGAGAAAUGCCACUGAUUGCGUUAGAAAGUGAAACCUCAGAAAGGUGAUGCUUUGCUCUUCUUCAGCCUCCAUCCUGAUGCAAAAACCGAUCCAGACAGUUUGCAUGGAAGUUGCCCUGUCAUAGAAGGUGAAAAGUGGUCUGCAACAAAAUGGAUUCAUGUGAGUUCUUUUGACAAACCAGAAAAACAAAAGUCAAGUGAGGCAUGCGAGGAUGAGAAUGUUCUUUGCCCGCAAUGGGCUGCUCAAGGGGAGUGCGUAAAUAAUCCUCUUUAUAUGGUAGGAUCCAAGGAGUCAGCUGGAUUUUGUAGGAAGAGUUGCAAUGUGUGUGCCAUGUAGGUUUAGUUCCAUGUGGUCAACUAUAGGUGUCUCCCAGGGAUUUACUCUUAGAUCCUUUGAUGUACAUAAACACUCGCAUAGUGAAAGUUCGAUGUUUGUUUGUAGUUUAAAUUCUGAAUUUUCUUUUAGAAAGAUUGCAUUAUGUGGAGGACAUUAUGCAUCAAAUAUUCAUUGAGAUGUCUGUUAUGAGUAA